AGUGAUGGUAUCUUACCAGAAAGUCACGGCUAACUACGUGCCAGCAGCCGGCGGUAAUACGUAGGUGGCGAGCGUUUAUCGGGAAUGAUGGGGCGUAAGGGGUGCGUAGGUGGCAGAUCAAGUCUGGAGUAAAAGGUAUGGGCUCAACCCGUACUGGCUCUGGAAACUGAUCAGCUAGAGAACAGAAGAGGACGGCGGAACUUCAUGUGUAGCGGUAAAAUGCGUAGAUAUAUGGAAGAACACCGGUGGCGAAGGCGGCCGUCUGGUCUGGAUUCUGACACUGAAGCACGAAAGCGUGGGGAGCAAAUAGGAUUAGAUACCCUAGUAGUCCACGCCGUAAACGAUGAGAACUAGGUGUUGGGGGAAUAACUCAGUGCCGCAGUUAACGCAGUAAGUUCUCCGCCUGGGGAGUAUGCACGCAAGUGUGAAACUCAAAGGAAUUGACGGGGGCCCGCACAAGCGGUGGAGUAUGUGGUUUAAUUCGAAGCAACGCGAAGAACCUUACCAAAUCUUGACAUCCCUCUGACCGGUCUUUAAUCGGACCCUCUCUUCGGAGCAGAGGUGACAGGUGGUGCAUGGUUGUCGUCAGCUCGUGUCGUGAGAUGUUGGGUUAAGUCCCGCAACGAGCGCAACCCCUAUCCUCAGUAGCCAGCAUUUAAGGUGGGCACUCUGGGGAGACUGCCAGGGAUAACCUGGAGGAAGGCGGGGAUGACGUCAAAUCAUCAUGCCCCUUAUGAUUUGGGCUACACACGUGCUACAAUGGCGUAAACAAAGGGAAGCGAGAUCGUGAGAUGGAGCAAAUCCCAAAAAUAACGUCCCAGUUCGGACUGUAGUCUGCAACCCGACUACACGAAGCUGGAAUCGCUAGUAAUCGCGGAUCAGAAUGCCGCGGUGAAUACGUUCCCGGGUCUUGCACACACCGCCCGUCA
rnacentral:rRNA from 1 species